rnacentral:rRNA from 1 species
AUUGAACGCUGGCGGCAUGCCUUACACAUGCAAGUCGAACGGUAACGCGGGGCAACCUGGCGACGAGUGGCGAACGGGUGAGUAAUGCAUCGGAACGUGCCCAACAGUGGGGGAUAGCUCGGCGAAAGCCGGAUUAAUACCGCAUACGACCUACGGGUGAAAGCGGGGGAUCGCGAGACCUCGCGCUGAUGGAGCGGCCGGUAGCAGAUUAGGUUGUUGGUGGGGUAAAGGCCUACCAAGCAGACGACCUGUAGCUGGGCUGAGAGGACGGCCGGCAACACGGAGACGGAGACACGCCCCAGACUCCUACGGGAGGAGGCAGUGGGGAAUUUGGGACAAUGGGCGCAAGCCUGAUCCAGCCAUGCCGCGGGCGGGAUGAAGGCCUUCGGGUUGUAAACCGCUUUUGUCGGGGAAGAAAUACUCCGGGCCAACACCCUGGGAGGAUGACGGUACCCGAAGAAUAAGCACCGGCUAACUACGUGCCAGCAGCCGCCGUAA